rnacentral:lncRNA from 1 species
AAAUGAAUUGAGCUACUUAGUAAGAAAUAGCAUACAAGAUACAAUUUCUUGAAUUUUGAGGACACAAAGUGCACAUACAUUAGACAAUAAAGGAUUUCAAUAUAUUUUAUACAUGUACUUCUCUUUACCAAACAAAUCAAAGAAUGGAAUAAUAGGUUAAUCUAGAAGCUGAAAACAUCAAAUUGAAACAUUCAGUUCAAGAAUAUAUCCAUUCUGCAUGUCAAACAUUCAGUAAUCUCACAAGAUAAACCCUAGAUAAGCCCAGAAACUAGAAAUCUGUCAUACUACAUGAAAACUCAUUGCUAGCAGCCUAGCACAGUCGAGAUUCAGAAUACAUAAAAUCAAAAAGGAUAACAAAAAUAGUACGAAACAGAUCCUUGAUUUUCAUCAUUAUAUACUGAGAUUUGGAAAUUUUUGUGACGAAUCAAUAAAUAUGCCAAGGGAUUGAAGUUGCCCUGCAGGAGAAACAAAUUUGUUGGACAAUUUGAAAUCCUCAUUCAUUUCUCUCUUUAAGACAGUUGAAAAGCCUCUAAUAUAGCCACAUCUUCAUCUCCAUCACCACCAAAUUGGCUAAACGAUGGUGUCGGGGUGGUGGCGGAAGUGGCCCUACCUAGUGCCUUUAAGAGAUCUAAUGGCAAAAGCUUAAUUUAUACAGGACUUGGGAUUGUAGAAUAUGCUUGCUUCUCCCACCAGUUUAC